rnacentral:rRNA from 1 species
GUAAAAAGGGCGUCUAUACAUGCAAGUCGAGCGACGGACGAGAAGCUUGCUUCUCUGAUGUUAGCGGCGGAGGGUGAGUAACACGUGGAUAACCUACCUAUAAGACUGGGAUAAUUUCGGGAAACCGGAGCUAAUACCGGAUAAUAUUUUGAACCGCAUGGUUCAAAAGUGAAAGACGGUCUUGCUGUCAUUUAAAGGAGAGAUCCGCGCUGCAUUAGCUAGUUGGUAAGGUAACGGCUUACCAAGGCAACGAUGCAUAGCCGACCUGAGAGGGUGAUCGGCCACACUGGAACUGAGACACGGUCCAGACUCCUACGGGAGGCAGCAGUAGGGAAUCUUCCGCUAUGUUUUUAAAGCCUGACGGAGCACGCCGCGUGAGUGGAUGAAAGGCUUCGAUCGUAAAACUCUUUUUUAGGAAAAACAUUGUGUAAUCACCGGCCAAAAUCGUGCACAGUCCCUAAUCAAAAGGCCAAGGUUAAC